rnacentral:rRNA from 1 species
AUGCCUUUGCCUGUUCCUGUUGCUCCAUGGGAGGACAUUUCUAUGGACUUCGUCUUGGGCUUGCCAAGAACAAGACGAGGAAGUGAUGUUGUAUUUGUGGUCAUGGAUAGAUUCUCUAAGAUGGCUCAUUUCGUCCCAUGCCGCAAGACAACGGAUGCUCAUCAUGUGGCAAACCUAUUCUUUCGAGAAGUGGUCAGACUUCAUGGAGUUCCAAGGUCCAUUGUCUCAGACUGUGAUAGCAAGUUACUUGCUGCAUUUUGGCUCACUUUGUGGAAGCAAUUCAACACUGAAUUGAAAUUUUCUAGCACUGCUCAUCCACAAACAAAUGGACAAACGGAAGUGGUGAACAAGUUUUGGGGUAAUCUGAUCCGUUGCAUUUGUGGAGAAAGAAAGGGACAAUGGGAUUUGGCUUUAUCUCUUGCAGAAUUCUCCUACAAUAACUCCAAGCAUAGAUCCACAGGAAGGAGCCCUUUUUCCAUUGUCUACACUAAAGUUCCAACACAUGUGGUGGACCUAGUAAAGCUACCAUCAAGGGGAAACUCAAAAUCAGCAUUGUCCUUUGUUGAUAAUUACACCGAGUUAUUUGAAGAGAUUCGCGGUUCUUUGGAAGCACAAAAACAGAAAUAUAAACAACUUGCUGAUUGCAAAAGGAGGCCAAAAUCAUUCCAAGCCGGUGAUAAGGUGAUGGUCUACCUCCGAAAAGAUAGGCUGCCUUUAGGUGUUAAAGGGAAACUUAGGCAGCGAAGGUAUGGACCCUUCUCUAUCGUGAGGAAGAUAAAUGAUAAUGCUUAUGUGAUAGAUCUUCCAAGCGAUAUGGGUAUCUCCAACACUUUCAAUGUUGUGGACUUGACUCUCUACCAUCCAGAAGAAGCGCUCUAUGAAGAUAACUCGAGGGAGAGUUCCAAACAACCAGGGGAGAAUGAUGAGGAACAAUAG